rnacentral:rRNA from 1 species
UUGACCCGGCGAUGUCCGAAUGGGGAAACCCAGUGCAAUCCGUUGCACUAUCGUUAACUGAAUACAUAGGUUAACGAGGCGAACCGGGGGAACUGAAACAUCUAAGUACCCCGAGGAAAAGAAAUCAACCGAGAUUCCCCCAGUAGCGGCGAGCGAACGGGGAGCAGCCCGGAGUCUGAAUCAGCUUGUGUGUUAGUGGAACGGUCUGGAAAGUCCGACGGUACAGGGUGAUAGUCCCGUACACGAAAGCACACUUGCUGUGAACUCGAAGAGUAGGGCGGGACACGUGGUAUCCUGUCUGAAUAUGGGGGGACCAUCCUCCAAGGCUAAAUACUCCUGACUGACCGAUAGUGAACCAGUACCGUGAGGGAAAGGCGAAAAGAACCCCGGCGAGGGGAGUGAAAAAGAACCUGAAACCGUGUACGUACAAGCAGUGGGAGCCUCUUUAUGGGGUGACUGCGUACCUUUUGUAUAAUGGGUCAGCGACUUAUAUUCUGUAGCAAGGUUAACCGUAUAGGGGAGCCGAAGGGAAACCGAGUCUUAACUGGGCGUUAAGUUGCAGGGUAUAGACCCGAAACCCGGUGAUCUAGCCAUGGGCAGGUUGAAGGUUGGGUAACACUAACUGGAGGACCGAACCGACUAAUGUUGAAAAAUUAGCGGAUGACCUGUGGCUGGGGGUGAAAGGCCAAUCAAACCGGGAGAUAGCUGGUUCUCCCCGAAAGCUAUUUAGGUAGCGCCUCGUGAACUCAUCUUCGGGGGUAGAGCACUGUUUCGGCUAGGGGGCCAUCCCGGCUUACCAACCCGAUGCAAACUACGAAUACCGAAGAAUGUUAUCACGGGAGACACACGGCGGGUGCUAACGUCCGUCGUGAAGAGGGAAACAACCCAGACCGCCAGCUAAGGUCCCAAAGUCAUGGUUAAGUGGGAAACGAUGUGGGAAGGCACAGACAGCCAGGAUGUUGGCUUAGAAGCAGCCAUCAUUUAAAGAAAGCGUAAUAGCUCACUGGUCGAGUCGGCCUGCGCGGAAGAUGUAACGGGGCUAAACCAUGCACCGAAGCUGCGGCAGCGACACUAUGUGUUGUUGGGUAGGGGAGCGUUCUGUAAGCCGUUGAAGGUGUGCUGUGAGGCAUGCUGGAGGUAUCAGAAGUGCGAAUGCUGACAUAAGUAACGAUAAAGCGGGUGAAAAGCCCGCUCGCCGGAAGACCAAGGGUUCCUGUCCAACGUUAAUCGGGGCAGGGUGAGUCGACCCCUAAGGCGAGGCCGAAAGGCGUAGUCGAUGGGAAACAGGUUAAUAUUCCUGUACUUGGUGUUACUGCGAAGGGGGGACGGAGAAGGCUAUGUCAGCCGGGCGACGGUUGUCCCGGUUUAAGCAUGUAGGCGGAGGUUCCAGGUAAAUCCGGUACCUU